rnacentral:rRNA from 1 species
CCCUUAGAUGUUCUGGGCCGCACGCGCGCUACACUGAUGCACUCAACGAGUCUCCACCUUGACCGAGAGGUCCGGGAAACCUUCGAACUUGCAUCGUGAUGGGGAUAGAUUAUUGCAACUAUUAAUCUUCAACGAGGAAUACCUAGUAGGCGCAUGUCAUCAGCGUGCGUCGAUUACGUCCCUGCCCUUUGUACACACCGCCCGUCGCACCUACCGAUUGAAUGGUCCGGUGAAAUCUCGGGACGGCGGCUUGGUCGCUUGCGUCCGACUGCUGAAACUUGAUUAAACCAUAUCAUUUAGAGGAAGGUGAAGUCGUAACA